rnacentral:rRNA from 1 species
GACGAACGCUGGCGGCGUGCUUAACACAUGCAAGUCGAACGGAAAGGCCCUGCUUUUGUGGGGUGCUCGAGUGGCGAACGGGUGAGUAACACGUGAGUAACCUGCCCUUGACUUUGGGAUAACUUCAGGAAACUGGGGCUAAUACCGGAUAGGAGCUCCUGCUGCAUGGUGGGGGUUGGAAAGUUUCGGCGGUUGGGGAUGGACUCGCGGCUUAUCAGCUUGUUGGUGGGGUAGUGGCUUACCAAGGCUUUGACGGGUAGCCGGCCUGGGAGGGUGACCGGCCACAUUGGGACUGAGAUACGGCCCAGACUGCUACGGGAGGCAGCAGGGGGGAAUAUUGCACAAUGGGCGGAAGCCUGAUGCAGCAACGCCGCGUGCGGGAUGACGGCCUUCGGGUUGUAAACCGCUUUCGCCUGUGACGAAGCGUGAGUGACGGUAAUGGGUAAAGAAGCACCGGCUAACUACGUG